ensembl:miRNA
CACAGGACCAUGGGAGCGUGGCCACCUUGCCCUGAGCUCUGCUUCCUCCUCCUGCAGC